rnacentral:rRNA from 1 species
AGUCGUAACAAGGUCUCCGUUGGUGAACCAGCGGAGGGAUCAUUAUAGAGGACUAAACUCCCUAAACCCAUGUGAACUUACCACUGUUGCUUCGGCGAGAUCGCCCCGGGCGCCGUAUGCGUGCCCCGGAGCAAGGCACUCGCCGGAGGACCCCAAACUCUGUUUUAUGUUGGCACAUCUGAGUGGAAUCAUACAAAUGAAUCAAAACUUUCAACAACGGAUCUCUUGGUUCUGGCAUCGAUGAAGAACGCAGCGAAAUGCGAUAUGUAAUGUGAAUUGCAGAAUUCAGUGAAUCAUCGAAUCCUUGAACGCACAUUGCGCCCGCUAGUAUUCUGGCGGGCAUGCCUGUCCGAGCGUCAUUAGAACCCUCGGGACCCCUUCUGGCAACAGCCUGGAGGGGCCCCGGCGUUGGGGAUCGGCUGCCCCCGCGGCUGCCGUCCCCGAAAUCUAGUGACGGUCUCACCGCAUACUCCUUUGCGUAGUAAAACACCUCGCACUGGACGGCUGGAGUGACCACGUCGUUAACCCCCAACUUUAUAAGGUUGACCUCGGAUCAGGUAGGAAUACCCGCUGAACUUAAGCAUAUCAAUAAGCGGAGGAAAAGAAACCAACAGGGAUUGCCCUAGUAACGGCGAGUGAAGCGGCAACAGCUCAAAUUUGAAAUCUGGCGCAAGCCCGAGUUGUAAUUUGCAGAGGAUGAUUCUGGCGUGGUGCCUUCCGAGUUCCCUGGAACGGGACGCCAUAGAGGGUGAGAGCCCCGUACGGUCGUGUGCUAAGCCUUUGUGAAUCUCCUUCGACGAGUCGAGUAGUUUGGGAAUGCUGCUCAAAAUGGGAGGUAUACGUCUUCUAAAGCUAAAUAUUGGCCAGAGACCGAUAGCGCACAAGUAGAGUGAUCGAAAGAUGAAAAGCACUUUGAGAAGAGGGUUAAACAGUACGUGAAAUUGUUGAAAGGGAAGCGUUUAUGACCAGACUUGGGCUCGGUUGAUCAUCCGGCGUUCUCGCCGGUGCACUCUGCCGGCCCAGGCCAGCAUCAGUUUUUCCCGGGGGAUAAAGGCUUCGGUAAUGUGGCUCUUUCGGGAGUGUUAUAGACCGUUGUGUAAUACCCUGGGGUGGACUGAGGUACGCGCUCCGCAAGGAUGCUGGCGUAAUGGUUAUCAGCGACC